GUCUAUGGCCAUACCACCCUGAAUGCGCCCCAUCUCAUCUGAUCUCAGAAGCUAAGCAGGGUCUGGCCUGGUUAGUACUUGGAUGGGAGAUCGCCUGGGAAUACAAGAUGCUGUAGGCU
ensembl:rRNA 5S_rRNA 5S ribosomal RNA